AAUUGCUACUCGGAGAAGAAAAGGAGAAAAACCUGGCCACAACCACAUGGCAUAUGCUUCAGGAUGGAAGACAAAGAGCCAAAGAGAAUUUUGUACCUUGGCCUUUUCCCUCAACAUUCUCAAUAACUGCUUCUUCAGAUCAAUGUGUGCUGCAUUUUUGGCUACAGGAAGAAGAGUAUGGAAUUCAGCACCGUCCGGCCUGACAAGCCCCAACUUCCUUAAACAGCAGGAUCUCAUCUUUCCAACUAGACUGUAUGUUCCUGGAGUGCAAGGAAUGUGUUUUGGACAUUUUGCCCAACAACUAACACAACUGCAAUUCCUCCAUACGAUGUAAACUGAAGAGAGUGCAGUGGAUGAUGACUGAGAUUCCUUCUGGCUCUAAAUUAUACAAUUCUGCAAUCCAAGAGGCCAGGCCAUUUGCCAAAUGUGUCACUUCCAUAUUGUUGAGUGACCCUGGACUUACUACUUUAUCUCUGUCCUGAAUUUGCUCAUCUUAAAAUAAGGAAGAAUGAUGUCACCUGUUGCUACCCAACCCACCUGCCCUAGUCUCAUAUCAGGAAUAUAGUAUCAAGUGGAGAUAAUGUCACCAAGGUGCUUAAAAAAAAAAAACACCAACAACAAACCAAAAUGUGUCUAUUAAGAUUAUUAAAUGGCUUGGGACUCUUACAAACAUCUCCUUGUUACAGAAGGCUUUCAAAGUUAAGAAAUUAAUGUGCAAUAUGAAAUGUGAACUCUGGGUUAGCACAAACCUUCCCCAGGUCUAAGUGAGUGAGUGCAUGUGAGUAUUUUAUAACUGUUAGACAACGAGGAUUUUAAAUGAAGGCUCUUCCCAAAGAGAACAUUGCUCUAAUUGGAUUUACACAAAAGUUCCAUGGAUAAGAGAGACUAA